rnacentral:rRNA from 1 species
UACAGAGGUCCCAAGCGUUGUUCGGAUUCAUUGGGCGUAAAGGGUGCGUAGGUGGCGCUGUAAGUCGGGUGUGAAAUUUCGGAGCUUAACUCCGAAACUGCAUUCGAUACUGCGGUGCUUGAGGACUGGAGAGGAGACUGGAAUUCAUGGUGUAGCAGUGAAAUGCGUAGAGAUCAUGAGGAAGACCAGUGGCGAAGGCGGGUCUCUGGACAGCAACUGACGCUGAGGCACGAAGGCCAGGGGAGCAAACGGGG